AUUGAACGCUGGCGGCAGGCCUAACACAUGCAAGUCGAACGAGUGGCGGACGGGUGAGUAAUGUCUGGGAAACUGCCUGAUGGAGGGGGAUAACUACUGGAAACGGUAGCUAAUACCGCAUACCAUCGGAUGUGCCCAGAUGGGAUUAGCUAGUAGGUGGGGUAAAGGCUCACUUAGGCGACGAUCCCUAGCUGGUCUGAGAGGCUGACCAGCCACACUGGGACUGAGACACGGUCCAGACUCCUACGGGAGGCAGCAGUGGGGAAUAUUCGACAAUGGGCGCAAGCCUGAGGCAGCCAUGCCGCGUGUAUGAAGAAGGCCUUCGGGUUGUAAAGUACUUUCAGCGGGGAGGCGUUACCCGCAGAAGAAGCAACGGCUAACUCCGUGCCAGCAGCCGCGGUAAUUC
rnacentral:rRNA from 1 species